rnacentral:tRNA from 2 species
GCCUCGUUAGUCUAGUGGUCUAGGACGCUGGCCUCUCACGCCGGUAUCAAGGGUUCGAACCCCUUACGGGGUACCA